UACCUGCAGCUCGAGUGGUGGCCGCUAUUAUUGGGCCUAAAACGUCCGUAGCCGGUUUAAUAAAUGCCUGGGUAAAUCGUGUAGCUUAACUAUACGAAUUCCGGGUAGACUGUUUGACUUGAGACCGGGAGAAGCUAGAGGUACUCCUGGGGUAGAAGUGAAAUUCUGUAAUCCUAGGGGGACCACCAGUGGCGAAGGCGUCUAGCUAGAACGGGUCUGACGGUGAGGGACGAAGCCCUGGGGCGCAAACGGGAUUAGAUACCCCGGUAGUCCAGGGUGUAAACGCUGCUUGCUUGAUGUUAGUCUGGCUCCGAGCCAGAUUAGUGUCGGAGAGAAGUUGUUAAGCAAGCUGCCUGGGAAGUACGGCCGCAAGACUGAAACUUAAAGGAAUUGGCGGGGGAGCACAGCAACGGGUGGAGCGUGCGGUUU
rnacentral:rRNA from 1 species